rnacentral:rRNA from 1 species
GACGAACGCUGGCGGCGUGCUUAACACAUGCAAGUCGAACGGUGAAGCGCUUGCCUUUUUGGUGGGUGUGGAUGAGUGGCGAACGGGUGAGUAACACGUGAGUAACCUGCCCUCUUCUUCUGGAUAACCUCAUGAAAGUGGGGCUAAUACGGGGUAUUCCGGGUCUGUCGCAUGGCGGGUUUGGGAAAGAUUGCGCCUUUGGGUGUUUUCGGUGGGGGAUGGGCUCGCGGCCUAUCAGCUUGUUGGUGGGGUGAUGGCCUACCAAGGCGGUGACGGGUAGCCGGCCUGGGAGGGUGGACGGCCACACUGGGACUGAGACACGGCCCAGACUCCUGCGGGAGGCAGCAGUGGGGAAUAUUGCACAAUGGGCGCAAGCCUGAUGCAGCGACGCCGCGUGAGGGAUGGAGGCCUUCGGGUUGUGAACCUCUUUCGCCAGGGAAGCAGGCCUGCUCCUGUGUGGGUGGGUUGACGGUAGCUGGAUAAGAAGCGCCGGCUAACUACGUG